AAUUUGAUGAAUGCUCGAGAGGAUCACAAUCUGGAAGUAAAAGAGGGGAGGAUGCUCAAGAUUCUAUUCCAAGGAUAAGGAGAAGAUUGUCAGAGACAUUUAGAGCACAGUAUAUAAACACAAAGGAAAUCAGGUCCAAUAUCCUUCCCUUAUAUCCUGAAUAUGCGUUGGGACGUGGAAUGUUGGAGGAAAACUUCCAAAUGAUGACCUAGAUAUCGAUGACUGGAUUGAUACUGAUGAUCCUGCUGACAUCUACGUGUUUGGGUAAGUGUUUCCCUGCACCUCGUCCAAUACCAAACUCAGCAUAUCCAUAGGUAAUCUGCUAUCUCUGCCACAAUGCCAGCAUAAGAUCUGAACAUUAAUCUUCAUUGAUUCAAUUAAACCUUGCUCUUUUGCUAAGAAACAAUAUGAUCAAUUUAAAGAGAAGUCUAUAUGUAUAGAACUCAAGGAAAUCAGAACUUUUAACAAAGGAAAGCGAGGCAACAUGUUGAUUUUCGAACUGUUAUUGGUAAAGGCCAAAGAGGGAAAACAGGAGGUAUGAACCCCUACUCUUUGGCACGAAAAUUGAAAUUGCCACCCAUAAUUAAACCUACUCUUAGCUGACAUCUAAACAUUAACAUGUCAGUGAAGGUAUAUGAUGUGGUUUUAUAUCCACUCGACAUGACUCCAGCAAUAUAAUUUACUUUUUAUUGCCUCAACUUGUUGCAUGUUGUUUGUUCUUUUCCAUAAAAUGCAUAAUUUUUCUUCCUGGUUCUGUCAAUCCUUGUCUCAAAUUGGUUCUCGUCCAAGUUAGUUCACUUGAGAAAUAGGACAAAUGCUUCAUUUCUUCAGGCUUCAGGAGAUUGUACCCUUAAACGCUGGGAAUAUCUUUGGCGCUGAAGACAGCCGCCCAAUUCCUAAGUGGGAAAACAUUAUUCGUGAAACACUGAACAGAAUUCGACCAGCAAGGACUAAGGUUAAAUGUUACAGUGAUCAUCCAUCUCCAUCAAAAUUUAUGUCAUCUGAAAAUGUGCCCACUAUAGAAGAAGAGAUAUUACUUGAAAGCGAUAGUGAUAUUGGUGAAGAAAUCCAUCCCUUCCAUGAAGAAUCCAAUGGAUUUGAUGAACUCAAUGAUAAAUCAAUUACAGGUGACAUGAACUCAAAUUCUGGAGUUCCAGACAAUCAAAUUCUGGAUUUACAGAAGCAAUUUUCUUCUCCAAAAAAACUAGAUGGAUUAAAUUGCUUGCGGACCGAAGAUUCUGCAGGAGAUGUAGAAGCAUCGGCAGCUCCUCAAAAAUUAACUAGAAUUCUUAGUAGUUCUGAAUGGAUUGGCUUGAGUUGGCCAGAGCCCCCUUUAAACUUGCUAUCUCAGCAUGUUUUGCAGAGACCAACUUCCUUCAAAUCAAUUAAAUCAUUUAAAGCAACCAAUUCUUUUGGAGGAUAUAGUUCUUUAAAGUCAGUUUCAAGUGAAAUAAAAACAAAAUUGGCUUUGUUUGCCGAGCUUGACUUUGAAUCUCUCAUAAAACGGAAUAGAAGAUCAUCAUAUGUAAGGAUAGUGAGCAAGCAGAUGGUCGGAAUCUUCCUCACUAUUUGGAUUCGUAGGAGCUUGCGUAAGCAUAUUCAUAACUUAAAAGUGUCCACAGUUGGUGUUGGUGUUAUGGGCUAUAUUGGUAACAAGGGAUCAAUAUCAGUCAGCAUGUCAAUAUAUCAGACAUUUUUCUGUUUUGUAUGCACACACCUCACGUCAGGUGACAAGGAUGGAGAUGAACUCAAAAGAAAUACCGAUGUUCAUGAAAUACAAAGGAGGACUAAAUUUCAUCCCUUUUCCAGUGUUGGACUUCCUAAAGGCAUCUAUGAUCAUGAACGAAUUAUCUGGUUAGGUGAUUUGAAUUACCGCAUCAACUUGUCAUACGACCAAACAUGUGAACUCAUCUCCAAAAAGGAGUGGUCCAAGUUAGUGGAAGGGGACCAGCUUGUACGAGAAUUAAGAAAAGGCUGUGCAUUCGAUGGAUGGUCAGAGGGUAUAUUGGAUUUUGCACCAACAUAUAAAUAUGAGAUGAAUUCUGAGAAAUACUGCGGAGAAGAUCCAAAGGUUGGAAGGCGUAUUCCUUCAUGGUAUGAUUCUGCAGUAUUUGAGUGGUGUGAUCGCAUCCUUUCAUAUGGAAAGGGAAUGAGGCUACUGAACUACAGGAGGAAAGAGCUAAAACUUUCUGAUCACCGGCCUGUGGCUGCCACAUAUAUGGCUGAGGUUGAGGUGUUUUCUCCUAGGAAGCUACAGAAGGCGCUCACAUUCACAGAUGCAGAGAUUGAAAAUGAGGAAGUUGUGGCAGGCUUGGGAAUUGAUGUUAGAAUAAGCCAGUUGAGAUUGGAGCAGGACCCUGUGUAUAGCAGGCAAAUCCAGCAAGCGUUUUAGAUUACACGAGUCACCGGGGCAGGUUUUGGACAACUAUUGGAAGUUAGGCGACUUUGAUGCUGGAUUCUGGCUCCUAAAAUCUGAAUGAUGCACGAAUGGGCUCACUUUGGAUAUUUCUUGUUGGGAGCAUUUACGAGGAAUACCCUGUCAUGAAGGGGCUGGAAGUGAGAUCCUGAGAACUAUGCUAUUACUACUCUACCUUAUGUUCAUUCAUUGAUUUGUAAUUUUUUGCAUGAUAUUGUGUACUGAACUUCUUGUGUUACUGUGUUCAGAGUAGGAGUUUAUAUGUUAUAGAGAUAAAAUCAUAUAUAGGAGUUUAAUUGUAACUUUUUUUUUUAAAUCACGGACACACUCCAGCACGCGAGCCACGGGUGAGCAUCCACUCUCAAAAGCCAAACCACGGGAGAGAGCCUAUCAAGUCGAGGUUCUAGUUGACCGCACAUUUAUAUGUGGGUUGAGAAAUGCAACUGGUAGGAUUCAAAACAGGAAUAUUCUCUCCUCCAAGUUAACUUUUUAUCACUUGACUAUCGCCAACUGAGUUACUAGCUCACUUGCUAUUAUGCAUGUUGUUCAUACAUGUUCAAUGAUGCAGGUUACAUGUAUCAAAGAUUAAUCCAUUGAGUUUAUGCAUAUUUUUAAUGUUAUAAAAGAAGAGAAUAAUUGCAUGUU